rnacentral:rRNA from 1 species
ACACCAGCACCUCAAGUGGUCAGGAGGAUUAUUGGGCCUAAAGCAUCCGUAGCCUGUUCUAUAAGUUUUCGGUUAAAUCCAUUAGCUCAACUAAUGGGCUGCCGAAAAUACUGUAGAACUAGGGAGUGGGAGAGGUAGACGGUAUUCGGUAGGAAGGGGUAAAAUCCUUUGAUCUAUUGAGGACCACCUGUGGCGAAGGCGGUCUACCAGAACACGUUCGACGGUGAGGGAUGAAAGCUGGGGGAGCAAACCGGAUUAGAAACCCCGGUAGUCC